rnacentral:rRNA from 1 species
UGGGGAAUAUUGGACAAUGGAGGAAACUCUGAUCCAGCAAUUCUGUGUGUGUGAAGAAGGUUUUAGGACUGUAAAACACUUUUAGUAGGGAAGAAAAAAAUGACGGUACCUACAGAAGAAGCAACGGCUAAAUACGUGCCAGCAGCCGCGGUAAUACGUAUGUUGCGAGCGUUAUCCGGAAUUAUUGGGCUUAAAGGGCAUCUAGGCGGUAAGACAAGUUGAAGGUGAAAACCUGUGGCUCAACCAUAGGCUUGCCUACAAAACUGUUGAACUAGAGUACUGGAAAGGUGGGUGGAACUACACGAGUAGAGGUGAAAUUCGUAGAUAUGUGUAGGAAUGCCGAUGAUGAAGAUAACGCACUGGACAGAAACUGACGCUGAAGUGCGAAAGCUAGGGGAGCAAACAGG